rnacentral:tRNA from 1 species
GCUCCAGUCAUCUAGUCCGGUCAAGGAUUCGGGCCUUUCAAGCCCGCAACUCGGGUUCAAAUCCCGACUGGAGCA